rnacentral:SRP_RNA from 1 species
GCUGUAUGUGGUAGUACACACCUGUGGCCCCAGUUAAUCUAGAGGCUGAGGUGGGAGGAUCUCUUGAACAGGAGUUCUGAGCUGUAGUGCACUAUACCAAUUGGGUGUCUGCACUAAGUCCAGUAUUCAUAUGGUGACCUCUCAGGAGUGGGGGACUCACCAGAUUACCUUAGGAGGGGUGAACUAGUUCAAGUCAGAAGUAGGUCAAAACUCCUGUGCUGAUCAGUAGUGGGAUUGUGCCUGUGAAUAGCCAGGUGUCAUGGCAGGCCCUCCCACCUGGGUAACACAGCAAGACCCCAAUCUCU